GGCGCUUAGCCAGUAUGGUGGUUAUGAUACUCGGCUUGCGAUCGAGUGGGCUCAGGUUCGAAUCCUGAAUAUGGCCU